AACAAGCUUUCGUUGGCAGGGAUGCAGCUUCCCGAAAAAUACAAGGCGAAAUUCGACAUUUCGAGCGAAGGCCGUUCGUUUUUCUGUCUGCAGCCAUUGACAGCAUUUUCAAUUCUUACGUCAUACUUAUUCCGUACUUGUUUCAUGUAAUAUUUCAAAUCCGAGUUGGUGUUUUAGACGUGGUUUCUAAAUCCAGCAAGGCAGAUAUUCAUAGCAUUCAGGAAGUAACAAUAGAGAAUUAAGUUGUUCAAUCAAGCGAUUGCGUAACGAAGGAACGAAUUAAAGACGGCGUUGUUCAGACUGCUGUUAUGGCAUCUAGUUGCAAAAAGAGGAGAUUUCGAGAUCCUCAAAGCGUGGAAAGAAGCAUUGACAACGUCCGAAAUGCUAUUCCACAAACAACGCGUUAUAAAAAUCGCUGGGAGUUCGUAUAUUUGAACAUUGACAAAGUUGGUGAGAAAAUAAAGCAGAGUCAUGUGUGAGAGCAAUCCGUUCUGCUUAGAUUUGCAGAAUUUGCAAAAUUUGGAGACAGAUUUGUGUUCAAUGACGGCAAGUGAUUUAAUUAAAAAGCAAUUACAUUCAGAAAUCGUUAUACAGUACAGGGUGUAUAAAAAAAACGCAACCUCGGAAUUUCCUAAGAAAUCACUUUGCAAUUCUUAAGCAUAAAAGAUUUUAGGCCCCUGGGAAUUGAAAUCGAAUUGCUAAUAGAUCAUAUUACUGUUGUUGUGCAUUAAAUAAAUGCAUAAAUUUUGCUUUAUGCAACUCGCGUGUGCAGUAAUUUUGACAGUUGUGCUAUUUUAAAUUCCCAGGCGCCUAAAAUCUUUUGUCUUUAACAACAAUGUCGACUUCUUGGGAAAUUCUGAGGUUGCGUUUUUUUUUAUACACCCUGUAUAUCGACG